GUUUGUUACUUAACCGUUGCCGCCAAUUCGUUCUACCGAGGAAUCAUUCUGUGCACCAUUUUGACGGUGUCAUCUGGCUAGCUAGUUGCAUUAAACUAAAUCAAAUGAUUCGAGUGAUUAUAUCAGGAAUCAAAACGAAAAAAAAGGAGAAAGUAAAGGAGAAGCACAGAAUGAAACGCUGGAAGAACUGAAAGGUCAGUUACAAACAACUGAAUGCAAUAACUGAUGAUGCAGAUGUUGAACUUGAGAUUACGAAAAGAGAAAAUACAUUACUGAAGCAAUUGAACCAACAACUUAGAGAGUAAAAUGAAAUAUAAAGGAACCAGAAAAAAGCAACAAUGGGAACAAGUGAAUUAGAAAACCUUUGCUGAAAUAACUAAUAUUAAUAAAUAUCAGCUGAAAAGAUUAUAGUAAAGAGAUAGAAGAAAUUAUAGUAAAGAAGAUCAAUGAUGAUAAACCAACGGGCAUGAACGAGAAAGUCGAUCAUUACUUGAUAAAAUAGAUCUAUACAAGCUAAAGAAAUUUAUACGAAGAUUGAGAAUGAAAUUAUUAUAAGCUGUAUGAAUGAAAAUAAUGUCAAUGCUACUGAAAAGUUAUUAGAAUCCAGUCGGUCAGCUAGUGCAUGUAAAAUACAAAUUGAUCAAUUGAUGGGAAUGGAUAUUACUUUUAUAACACAACACAGGUCAACUUUUAUGUCUGCGUAUAGCAAGCGCCACUAGAGAGCGAAGAAUGAAACGCUGCCGUUUAUUGCCAACCUCAAAAUGAUGAAUCUACUUACAACAAUCAUUGCCAACAUCUUACAUACGAUUAGUUUUAUUCUCACUUCAAUUAAUGAAGCUACAGAUUAAACUCAUUGAAUUUCAGUAAUUUGAAUAACAUGUAUCAUGUACGCCACAUGUACAGAAACCAAAUAAAUGGAUUAGGCAGUUCAAUCUUAGAGGUGACACUUGAAAUAUGUAAACAUAUAAAAUAAAAGAAAAACAAAGAUUUUGUGGUAUAUCAAAACUGCAAGGUGUAUGACGUGAUUAAUGACAGAUCAUGCAAUAAUUGUGGUAAAUUUGGUCAUAAUGAUCAUAGGUGCAAAAAUAAUAGUGUUUGCCUCAAAUGCUCAAGUCAGUCGAACAAAUUUAUGUCAUAGUGUGGAGUUCAAAUGCUUGCAUUUAUAGUGACACCAAGUACAAAACCAGUCAGGAUGUAAACCAUCCAGCUACUGCUAUGAGUGUGUGUCAAAUUAUAAAAUCCAAGGUUAAAAAGCUGAUUGAUACGAUUGUUUAUGUAAUAAAACCUAUAUUAUCGACAUGGAGUAAGAAAGGGAAACAACAUCGUGCUAAUGUAAUUUAAAGAAGAACGGCAACUUCAAUGAAGCUAUCAACAUCGAUGGAAUAAGAAAAGGAAUGAUACAUGACGAAAUAUUGCUCUCUGAUCUUGGAAUCCUUAAUAAAAAUAUAGAUGAUAAACACAUUUUGAUACUAUGUAUCAAUAUUAGAAGCCUACAUGCUAAUCCUAAUAACCUUGAAAAUCUUGUUGAGACACUGCAGAUCAAACCUUAUACUGUUACGUGUGCGGUUUUUUUGAGGCAUGUACCUAUGAGAAAACCCCGUUAUUGUGUAGUUCUUUUGCCUUAACCCCUGAAAUAAAGGUAAAUAUGGAUAAUAUAAAGGACUUCCUCUGAUGGGCAAAAAGAAGGAUCGGUCUUUCCGACCCAAAAACACCUUGAAUCAAUUAGUUGUAUGGACUUAGGCGAUUCCAAAGCCGUCUUGGUUCAUGAACAAGCACCUCCCUCUUACGCUCACUCACGUAAGACAAGAGCUCACUGAUAUAUAUACUAACCAAGAGCUGUUUCGCUCUUGCAACCGAUUUCCUCGCAGGCUGGCCACACCAUCUUUAAUUUUAAACUGUGAAAGGCUAUAAAAUGAUUGCAUCGGCGACGACGACGAAUAUGUUUUGACAGGAAAUGCCCCAUAAAUAAAAUGAAAACAUCAUUGUUGUCGUCAUCGAUGCAAUCAUUUUAUGGCCUUUCGCAGUUUCAAAUUAAAGAUAGUAUGGCCAGCCUGCGAGAAAUAGACGAAGAACUUGCGUGGUAUCGAGUCAGCAGUGACCGAAUGCGAACUUUGAAGAUAUUUUCUCAUGUGUGUGAAGUUGGCCCAGCACUUUUCGAAAAUAAUGAUUAUAAAAAUUGUGCUGAAUUGUGCUAAGGGUGUGCUAACUUGUGCCGUCAAUCCGCCUUUCCUAACUUCAAAGGAUUCCCCAAAAAUCGAAAAUCUGAUAAGCCCAGCACUUUUGGGAUAAAAAAAAAAAAAAAUUGUGCCGGGUUGUGCUACAUUUGUGCUAACUUGUGCCGUAGUUCAUUUUUUCGAAAAGUCCAUUAUUCACACGGAAAGAAAAAAAAAAAUUAGGUUGAGAGAAAUGGUGCUGGGUUGUACCGCAUUUGUGCCAACUUGUGCCGUGCUCUAGUUGCCAAACAUUCGAGAAAAGUUGAGAAAGUCCAGAAAAAUCAUCGAGAAAAUUGAAAAAUUUACACACGGCUCGGAUCUGUCGAGAUUUUUGAAUUUUUUCGAUCGUGCUAGAUUGUGCCAUGUUUGUGCCAACUAGUGCCGUGCUCUAUUUUCCCAAACAUUCGAGAAAAGUUGAAAAAAUCCAGAAAAAUCAUCGAGCAAAUUGAAAAAUUGACACACGGCUCGGAUCUUUCGAGAUUUUUGAAUGUUUUUGACCGUGCUGGAUUGUGCCAUGCUUGUGCCAACUGGUGCCGUACUCUAUUUUCCCAAAAAUUCGAGAAGAGUUGAGAAAAUCCAGAAAAAUCAUCGAGCAAAUUGAAAAAUUGACACACGGCUCGGAUCUUUCGAGAUUUUUGAAUGUUUUUGACCGUGCUGGAUUGUGCCAUGCUUGUGCCAACUUGUGCCGUACUCUAUUUUCCCAAAAAUUCGAGAAGAGUUGAGAAAAUCCAGAAAAAUCAUCGAGCAAAUUGCAAAAUUUACACACGGCUCGGAUCUUUCGAGAUUUUUGAAUUUUUUCGAUUGUGUUAGAUUGUGCCGUGUUUGUACCAACUUGUGCCGCCCUUUUUUAAUGAGAUUUAGUUUGAUUCAAUCAAAGAUCAAUUGAUAUGAUCUGUUCCAUUUGUAUUUCAUGAAAGGAAAGAAUUUUGUUUAACGUGUUUUUCCAAACUCAGUUCUUUUAAAACUCUCAUGUCAUAUACACGUAGUUGUCGAAUAAUUAAAUUCAUUUACAAACGUUAUAGAGAUAUCGAAUGGAGUUUUUUAUUGCUGUAAUUGACUCAAAUCUACAGUGAGCACAUUAAAAAUUCAGAAACCAUUAUAGAAUUGAUUCCAAUUUCAAACAAAUUAUUCAGAAGUAUUUAUCGCAUCAGAACUCAGAAACAAUUCGAAAUUGAUUGGGCGCCAGAUAAUUCAAAAUUAAAAUAAAUCCUCAAUUCACCUAUCAUCCAGAAGAAACUAACCAUGAGUCGAAUGAAAUUCUUUCCGGAUAAAACCACGAAAAAGACCUGUGGCAACGUCUUUCAACAAUUUCACAAUAAUUAGUGAACGCUACCCAGGAAAUUUUCAUUAAUAGUCACGAAACUACCAAAUAUUUUCAACGGAAUUCAAAAUAAAGUAAAAGGAGGAAGCAUGUUGAGAGUGAAUAUAAAAGGGAUUUAUUAGAAAAAUAGUAUCACUUGAAAUUAAACGGGAGACGGAAGAUUUGUAUCUCGUUCAAAAUUUACAACAAUAACAAGUUUUGAACGAUUCUGAGAUUCAGGCCUGUAGAAGUUUGUAUCCCUUUUGAAGAAAAUGUAUACGGAAUAAACUCCAUUGGGGUCAGCAUAAAGAACGUCACAAUAUCAGAAAAUCUACCUUCGCACGUAUGCAAAAUAUCGAACGCGCUCAACGACUAAAUGAGAGAAGAAAACAAACAGUUAAAUUUGGAUUUUCGAUACAGGGCACAUUCGUAGAAGAAUCACCUCUGAAUAACUUAUAUCUACAUUUGGCUUAAUGAAAACGAAUAAAAAAUUAAGUUCAUCAAGCUUUAUUUCCAACCUUGUUUCAUAACUUGAGCCCUCUGUAAACGUUAUGCUUUUCGGAGUGUUGGUAAUAUUAUAAUUCAUGAUUGAGAGUUGGCAACAUUGGUGUAUGCGCAGGCGCAAAAUAUAUAUUACUGGAACAUUCCGGAACGUGCGUCACUUCCUUUAGAGAGGUUAAAAAUGUCUGUGUAACACCACAUGCUGCUGAGAGCAAAAAGAAAUCAAAAAUAAUAGAAAGCUUAAAACUAAAAAUAUAUCCAAAGAUAUCUUGCGCAUCCUUGCUCAGUGCGAAGCGUUAUUUCAUUAAUCUAUAUUGUUAUCCACUACUUAUAUCAGUGUACAUGUAUAAAUACACUAUUCUCAGUUGUUUUCUAUA